rnacentral:rRNA from 1 species
AAGCGGAGGAAAAGAAACCAACAGGGAUUGCCUCAGUAACGGCGAGUGAAGCGGCAGCAGCUCAAAUUUGAAAUCUGGCCCCCGGCCCGAGUUGUAAUUUGCAGAGGAUGCUUCGGGGCGGGCCCCGGCCCGAGUCCCUUGGAACAGGGCGCCGUAGAGGGUGAGGGCCCCGUACACGGCCGGACGCCCGCCCCGUGCGAAGCUCCUUCGACGAGUCGAGUUGUUUGGGAAUGCAGCUCCAAACGGGAGGUAUAUUCCUCCCAAGGCUAAAUACCGGCCGGAGACCGAUAGCGCACAAGUAGAGUGAUCGAAAGAUGAAAAGCACUUUGGAAAGAGAGUCAAAAAGUACGUGAAAUUGUUGAAAGGGAAGCGUUUGCGGCCAGACCUGGUGGCGGUGGCUCAGCCGGCCCCUCUGGGCCGGCGCACUCCUCCGCCACCCGGCCAGCAUCGGUUCGGGCGGCCGGAUAAAGGCCGGGGGAACGUGGCCCCCUCGCGGGGUGUUAUAGCCCCCGGCACAAUGCGGCCCGCCCGGACCGAGGACAGCGGUCGCUAGGAUGCUGGGAUACUGGAAGGCAA